rnacentral:rRNA from 1 species
CCUACGGGUGGCAGCAGUGAGGAAUAUUGGUCAAUGGACGAGAGUCUGAACCAGCCAAGCCGCGUGAAGGACGACUGCCCCAAGCGUUGUAAACUUCUUUUAUCAAGGAAUAAAAUGAGGCUCGUGUGCCUUUUUGCAUGUACUUUAUGAAUAAGGAUCGGCUAACUCCGUGCCAGCAGCCGCGGUAAUACGGAGGAUCCGAGCGUUAUCCGGAUUUAUUGGGUUUAAAGGGUGCGUAGGCGGGUUGUUAAGUCAGUUGUGAAAGUUUGCGGCUCAACCGUAAAAUAGCAAUUGAGACUGGCAGUCUUGAGAACAGGUGAGGUAGGCGGAAUGCGUGGUGUAGCGGUGAAAUGCUUAGAUAUCACGAAGAACCCCGAUUGCGAAGGCAGCUUAC